GGCUGAGACGGAGCUCCUCCUGGUGGUGCCGUGAAGAGCCUGAGCUGGACCCGGACUCCCGCUCCCCUGGGGCGCACCCCUCUCCUUUGACCCAUGGAGGGAUUAGGAACGCUGGGGUCCCCAACCCCUCGGGGCACCUUGGUGAUCAUGCAGCACCCCGGGGAGCCCACCUGGAUCCUCUUGGCCAGGUGCCUGGAGUGCAACACGGAAAAGUUGGUGAUUCUGUCAGUACCUCCGUGGAAAUUUCAAGAAACAAAGCUCUUCUCCCUUCCCGAAUUUUCUCAGGAUUUCGGUGCCUGUGCUUUGCUGGUGACAGCUUGGCAGUGUAUUAAGAUGCUUCCUCCAACCUGAUGAUCUUAUCGAGUGAAAAGCUGUUCAAACUUUUGUGUUUUUCAAUAUUACAUCCACACCUGUGGCAGCUACUUUAGCUAUCCCCUGUGAAGUUGACCUUGACUCCCUCAGCUGUUCAGGGCUCUUUGAUGAGAUUUGGGAGGCAUUGUGAAGAUCAGGAAAAUGAGUGAGUAUAUGGAAAAAGGUGAAUGAGUGGGUAACGCUGGGGGCACUCCGAUCUCAACAACAAGUCUCCCUGGUAGUGAAGGAAGACUUGGCCCUUCUCCGCCCAGGUGACUGAGCUCCCAUGUUUGUGCUCAGUACUGCCCCCUUGGCCUCACCGACAGUAGCUCACCCAUCAGAGAGCAGGUAGAACUGGCAGGACAUGGGGAUGCCUUGUUCUGAGUGUACCAUCUGCUCCACAAUGAACACUUCCACCUGCUGAUGGCCCACCUGGAUUGUCUGGGAGCCCAGGGCUUGCUGGCAGCAACAGAAAUGAAGGGAGGGAGGUGAGGCGGAUGCCCACCAGGACCUCCCCCUGCAUCUCACCCUGCCCCUCUCUCCAUCUUGUAGCUUCAUUGCUUGUUCACUGGUGAUAAGCAACCCUUGGCUGUCCAGACCCUUAGGCUCCACAAGAUUUGGGUUGAAGCCCCGGGUUAAGUUGAGGUCCUCUCAUAGAGAGCCAGCUCCACCCUGCUCCUGCCUCAACCCCUGUCCAUGCCAGCUCCAUGACCAACUGCUUCUAGCUGGCAGAUUCUGUAACACCAACUAGGUGUGAGUGUGGGAGAGGGCAGGGGUUGGGUUACUGGGGGGAUAGAAGGUAGUGAGGCUCUAGAGAGGGACUUUUUUAUUGUUCAGUUUCUAAGUCGUGUCUGACACUUUGCAGCUUUAUGGACUGCAGCAUGCCAGGCUUCCCUGUCCUUCAAUAUCUCCCAGAGUUUGCUCCAAUUCAUGUCCAUUGAACCAG